AUGAACUGUAGGCGUUUACUUGCCCGUCUGUCUGAAUUUGCCUCAUCCUACCUCGGUGGAUGGCUUGGCCUCUGGGAUAGUCCAAGACUCUUGGAUGACCACGCUUUAUGCAAAAUCCAGAAUCUUCCUGCCUGGACUCCUCUCUGUUUUCUAAGGGUCAGCAGCUGAGUGUGUUUGACAAGAACUGAAAUUUAAUGUCUCCUGUAGCAACCAUGACACUAGUCAUUUUAAAAUCCACUGUACCAAUGGUACUCUGGUUUUUAUUAGCCUUUUACAAAUUUUUGUGUAACCUCUGAAGUCGUCUUGCUCCUGGAGGGGAGAGUAGAGGAUCCUUCAUGUUAGGAAAUAAAUCAAUGUUAGACAGAAUUUCUAAAAUGUAA
rnacentral:lncRNA from 1 species